rnacentral:rRNA from 1 species
UACGGGGGGGGCAAGCGUUGUUCGGAAUUACUGGGCGUAAAGGGCCAGUAGGCGGCCAACUAAGUCGGAUGUGAAAUCCCCAGGCUUAACCUGGGAACUGCAUCCGAUACUGGAUGGCUUGAAUUCGGGAGAGGGAUGCAGAAUUCCAGGUGUAGCGGUGAAAUGCGUAGAUAUCUGGAGGAAUACCGGUGGCGAAGGCGGCAUCCUGGACCGGCAUUGACGCUGAACAGCGAAAGCUAGGGGAGCGAAACGGG